rnacentral:rRNA from 1 species
UGAGGAACAUGACCUUCGGCGGGGGAGUAGCCGGCCCAACGGCCGGGUAAUACCGCGUACGACCACAUGGGGACAUCCCCGAGUGGUGAAAGCAGCAAUGCGCCGAUGGAGUGCCUCGCGGCCUAUCAGCUAGUUGGUGAGGUAACGGCUCACCAAGGCGACGACGGGUAGCUGGUCUGAGAGGAUGGCCAGCCACAUUGGGACUGAGACACGGCCCAGACUCCGUAGGACGG